rnacentral:rRNA from 1 species
UACGUAGGGUGCGAGCGUUGUCCGGAAUUAUUGGGCGUAAAGAGCUUGUAGGCGGUUUGUCGCGUCUGCUGUGAAAAUCCGGGGCUCAACCCCGGACUUGCAGUGGGUACGGGCAGACUAGAGUUCGGCAGGGGAGACUGGAAUUCCUGGUGUAGCGGUGAAAUGCGCAGAUAUCAGGAGGAACACCAAUAGCGAAGGCAGCUCGCUGGGACGUUACUGACACUGGAGGCGCGAAAAGCGUGGGGAGCGAACAGG